rnacentral:rRNA from 1 species
UACAGAGGUGGCAAGCGUUGCUCGGAAUCACUGGGCUUAAAGGGCGUGCAGGCGGCCAAGUAAGCGUUUUGUGAAAUCCCCCGGCUCAACCGGGGAAUUGCUUGACGAACUGCUUGGCUCGAGGGAGGCAGGGGCAACUGGAACUCUGGGUGGAGCGGUGAAAUGCGUAGAUAUCCAGGGGAACGCCGGUGGAGAAAUCGGGUUGCUGGGCCUUACCUGACGCUGAGGCGCGAAAGCCAGGGGAGCGAACGGGAUUAGAUACCCCGGUAGUCCUGGCCGUAAACGAUGUGAACUGGGUCGGGGCGGUUUUACCGCCGUCCCGGCCGGAGCAAAAGCGUUAAGUUCACCGCCUGGGAAAUACGGCCGCAAGGUUAAA